GCUCAAUACAGACAUGUCGAAAGCUGUUAAUUAAAAACGGAAGCCCCUCUUUUCUAAAACACACACCAAAAACACCCGAAGGAUUAGUUGUUUGGGAAGAGCAUCCUAUUAGGUUGUAAGAAAAUCUGCAACAGUUUGGACUCUUUUAUUUUUCACCAAGUGCACUGCGUGCUAGUAGCUUACAGGCAAAACUCAGGCUUCUCGGAGAUUUACCUGCUUUUUGAUGUGAGAUUUAAGAGGUCUGAUCAGCUGGAUGGAAAGUCUGUCGCUGUCUCAACGUGUGCUUCUCUGGGCUGCUAAUCACCUCUGGGUUAUCUUCCUGUCCGCAGAUUAGCAGCUCUCCGGGUGGGAAUGAAGCAAAAUGUUUUGGAGCGAGUCCUCCAUCUAUUGAAAGUCCUCCUUUUUCAGAUUUUACUGUAUCAUGACUAACCUCAGGUGUGGGUCAGUAGUCCAGACUUGAAGCAAGAUGAACUGGCCUGCGCUGUGAACCACACAGACACCUUCUGUCCUCCUGCUUAUGGCUUAGAUGGCUGCUGGUCAGAGUGUUUACAACAGCACCUUUGAGUGCUCAUCUAAGAAAAAAGUGUUUAUUGAUUCAAACAAAAGCACGUAGCAUAGUCUCUUCUUGGCGAUUUCACGGUGCCUGGUGCAGAUGAGGGACUCAGUCAUCUUGCAGUGAAGAUCCUUCCCCUCUUUGCAUAACUCAGCCAUUCUCAAACUUAUUUAGGCAGAGGGUAUUUCUUUUCACAUAACAUCACUCCCCCCAGAGGACUUGUGGUCUGAGGAACUGACAUUCCAAAUCACUUGUCUGCCCUGUGCAUUUUUGUAUUUUACCCCUUCCUACCUGGCCUUCUAAGGGAUGGGUGUGUGUGUGUGUGUGUGUGUGUGUCCCCUUCCUACCUGGCCUUCUAAGGGAUGGGGUGUGUGUGUGUGUGUGUGUGUGUGUGUGUGUGUGUGUGUGUCCCCUUCCUACCUGGCCUUCUAAGGGAUGGGCCGUGUGUGUGUGUCCUGGGUGGCUGGGGGAAAGGUUGGGGGUCUUUACUGAACCAACUAUCUCUGAAAAGAGGAAUUCAGAACACAUGGAUUAAGGGGGGAGGGGAAUAUAAAAAACAAUGAAUCUCCCCAGACUAGGGAACUCCAAAUGACUCAGCAUUCACGAAGUGCAUAGUCAGGCACUGUUUUAAGUGCUUUAUAAUCAUGAGAACGUUUAGACCUCACGCCAGCUCAGCGACGGUAAGAAACUCGCUCUGUCAGGUGGGCUGAGCUCCUGCUGGCUGGUUCUAGAACCAUCCCCCUAACCAUUACGUCUGAUGGCCCCCGCACUCUCCAGGAAGGGACAAGCGCCAGGGAUACCACAUUUCCCCCGGCGUGGAGAUCUGAGUCCGUCACUGCGGCCCCCAGGGAAGCCCCGGUGAGCAGCACCCCCCUGGGUCCGAAUGGCUCCUCUGCACUGGCUGGCCAUGCGGCUUUGGAAUGUGACUAAACCUCUCUCUGCAUCGGGUGAUUUUCACAUGUAAAAUAUAAGAAAACAAAGGAAGUAUAUACUUGGUGACGGGGCUGAGGGGAGUGCUCAGUAUGUGCUUGCUGUUGCUCGGUUGGCGCUAGACUCACAAGCCUUCGCCCCUUCACCCCGUCUGUCCUUUGCCAUCUUCCACACCUCGGGCCUUCAGAAAUUUGAAGAGCGGAAACACAGCCGCCUUCUUUCAGGCUAGACAUUGUGGGUUCUUUAGCUGUGUCCCCGGACGCUGGCCUCCAGCCUGCCUUCCCUUCUGCUCACGUCUCUAACAGCUCUUCUGCCAACGGGUGGCAUUUUGAUCUCUCUUUCCUAAAUACAUUGUAAAAAGAGUUUUCUUUUUCUUACAGCCCUUGAAAGGUUGACGUUUAGUUUAUGGAAGUUGAAACGGUCAGUACCACUAAAAACUAAAAUGUUAAACCUAAAGCAGAAUUUUAUUUGGAAAAGUUUGUUUCUUUUUGGAUCUGUUUUCUCUCCCUCCACAAACACUUCAGUGCACCCCCUUAGUGCUAAGACGGACCAGUUACACGGUCAUGAGCUGAAUGGGUGAUUGUAUGAAUUUUUCUUUUCUGUCACUCUCAUACUGUUUUCUGGUGGAAGAAGGGAUUUUUAAGGAGGAAUAGUCCAGAUGCUCUCCAGAUUCCCUCCUAAUCUUCAUAUUCCAUGAUUUGGGGUUUCUGCAGUUUUGUUCAAAGUACACAUAUACUGAAGUCCUCCUCAUUCUGAUGUAGUCAAUUCACUAGACAUUUUUAGAGGAAAUUACAUUUGUAACUAUAGUGUGUGUGGGUGUAUCUGUAUUUCCCAUUUCCUUUUUCCCUCUCAGAAAUUGCUUCUUCAAAGGGUGAUUAGAUUGGUUUUAAAGUGGUUCAUCUAUUCAUGCUGCUUAUUUUCCCACUGGACAUGUUAAUGCCCUCUCUGCAUUGUCAGAUGACCCUUUGGUUAGUUCCACCAGGUGUAAACACGUGUUUCCAGUGAGGGAAUUCCAAGGAGGAGCCUCCCAUAGUCCAGAAAACCGCUAAGCAUCUCGGGAAGUCAGUAGCUCUUUGGAACUCUCAGCACAAGUGAGUGUGAAGGCUCAGCUUGGUCCAUCAGCUCCCUUGACGGCAUGGGAUUUUAUAAAUAGAUAAGCAAGAACAGAGAAUGCAAAGCUGUGUGGAGAAGCACACUCUGGCUUCAUUCAUCAACUAAAAGGCCCUCCCUUGAACAUCAGCCUUGCAUGAAGGCUACUUUGGAUGCUCCCUGAAAGUCGGAGAGCGCCCCCUAGUGCUUUUGCAGCUCCUCCCAGCUCGUUAAGAGAGGGCUGUGUGCAUCACGGUUGUAUGACACGUGCUUCUGCUCAAUUUUAUUUUUUCUCAUUUGAGUUUAUGCGGCACCGUGCACUUCGCUUCUCCGUCUGGAACUGGAUGUAAUCAGCUCAGUGCCUGUCUGGAUUCCCAAGGGGCCUCUGGAUUCCUUGAGGCCGAUUAUCACACUUAUUUCUGGACUUCCAGCAUCGAUCGCUUUACUGAAAACAGAAAGGUUCUCAAUAAGCGGAACGGAAUGAUACGGCAUUGUUCGGUGAUACGUGGACCUGACGGAAGGGCAGACACACCUGCUCAAGGGCCUGAACACUUUUUUAAAACUGUUGUUUAAGCGUCGUAGCUUAGCGUUAAGAGCUCCGAGCUCAGCUUCUGAAGCCACACUGCUUUAGUUUCAGUCCUGUUCCACCACUUGCCGGCCACUGAUCUAGGCAAGCUACUUAACUUCUCUGUGCUGCAUUUUCCUAAUCUGUAAAACGGAGUAAUGAUAGUCUCCAUUUCACAGGGUUGUUUUGCGGAAGUAAAUGAGUUAAUACAGGUUAACUUUUCACAGUACCUGCACCCAGCAGGCUCUCAGUAGUUACGAGUUAUUAUUACCAGAAGGCUUCCUCCUUUUAGUAAAUUAAACCACAGAAUUAAAGGCCUGAAAACAGGAAUUUUCCUUUUACUGGGUUUAGGUCGACAACACGGAAAUAAGUCUGAGACAAUCCCUCUGCGUGGGGGUGGCGGUGGGGGGACAGAAAUGGCUGCUGAGACGGAGGAUGCCCUCGCUGUGAGCCCUUCCUGACGAGAGUGCCCCACCUCCCUCCUCACAACCAACAACGAUGUCUGCUCCUGCAGAGCAACGCUAAGGUUGGAACUUAGGGUCGUGUCUGGAGGAAAAGUGAGAAUUGGAGAAGUAACAGUCUUUAAUAUUUUAUACCAUAUUGUUUUCCUAGAAAGGUAGUACAACCACCUUUAUCCCGACAGAGCUGCAGUGUGGUCAGGGAGGGCUCUCUCGCCCUGGCUCUCGCUUUCUCCUCUCUCCCUCCUUCUCCAUGCAUGUAUCUAUGCACAUCUACCCUUACAGUAUGUACCUGGGCUGAUAAAUACAGUCACUGGAGGACAAGUAAAAUUGGACCUUUAAUAGUAAAAUAUGAAACUGAAGGCCUUCUCGUGUUAUUGUGGGGUUACAGCUCAAUGCCACAUUGUGGAGGGAGAUUUUAUUUAAUGCUUAAACUCAAUGCCUUAAAAAGCCAAGACAUUAGUUGGAUGUCUGCAAACACCUGUAACAAUGAAUAAAUGUGAAAUGAUAUUUUACAGAUGCAUCCAAAUACUUCCUGGUGCUUGCAAAGACAUUAUGUUACCUGACUCUUGGGAAAACACUGUUACAGAGUGACAAUUAAUCUCACUCUGUUUAGAGCAGUCAUAUGACCAGCCAAGGCGACAGGGUGGCAAAGUAGGAUGCAGACCCACACCUUCUGCAGGAGAUCAAUGAUCCUGUCACUGUCCUAACUGCCUGUCUUCAAAUUUUUAAGAAAACACAAAUUUCAAGUUUAUUUCUGCAAAUCUAAGCAAAAUGUGGGACCUUCAUUCCUGGCCAGAACACGGAAAGACUGACCUGGACUGGAAGUGGCCCAUGAAAAACAUGAAGCAUGUAUUUCAAAUAACUAAUUUUAAUUUAUCCUUUGACAUUAAUACUUUCAAUACUAAUCAAGAUGAGUCCUUUUACUCAAAUUAUAUAUUUGACAUAAAGCCCCUGGGAAUUGAAAGGCUGCACUUAUUUUGCUGGAACCCCUUUUCACUAUUGUCCUUUCAGUGGGGGGAGGGUUAGCAGCGGAACUGCAGGUAUUGGGGCCGCAGCUGUACCUUCCUGAUAUUUGAGGACUGCGGAACCCGAGACCCACAGCAUUUCUGCCCUGGAGGCACAUGCAUAUUUGCAGAGUGGAAUUACUGUCCAUGGCAAUGCUUUAAAGAUGGAGUCAACCAUUCCUUUGGGAAAAGAAAAACAACUCAAAGGGUAAUUAAUAGAUCUGAUGGAAGUGCAGCGUGAAAGCCCACAAAGGACAAAGGGGAGAACACUUUCCUGAUUUUGAGAGUGUCUAUGGCAAGAUUUCUUCUAGAGCCACUGAAAAGUUUCCAGGCUC